UACGAAGGGGGCUAGCGUUGUUCGGAAUUACUGGGCGUAAAGCGCACGUAGGCGGAUUGUUAAGUCGGGGGUGAAAGCCUGUGGCUCAACCACAGAAUUGCCUUCGAUACUGUAGAGCUUGAGACCGGAAGAGGUAAGUGGAACUGCGAGUGUAGAGGUGAAAUUCGUAGAUAUUCGCAAGAACACCAGUGGCGAAGGCGGCUUACUGGUCCGGUUCUGACGCUGAGGCGCGAAAGCGUGGGGAGCAAACAGG
rnacentral:rRNA from 1 species